UUUCUGUUUUGUUAAUGAUCAUAGGCAGGCAAUAGGUCAGCUCUUGGUCACAUAGGAGUAUGGCAAUAGGCCACUCUAGUACAGUAGUUGGUAGAACCAUACAUCAGCCAUACUUGGUAGGAGGAUGAUGUAUGCAGUGUACUAGGAGUAGUUGGGGCUGUACCCAGCCAUGCCUUGUGUACCUUAUAGUUGGUACAAGGCUUGUAUAUAUACACCAUGUAUGCAAUGAAGCAAAGGCAGUUUUAGUGCCACAUAUUUCCUGGGUUCAGGUUUCAGCCAAGACUGAAACCGUGUGUGAGUGUGUGUGCCUGAGCUCGGCUCAUCUUCUACCUUGGGUCAGGGGAGAGGAAGAGGGAAGGUGAGCAGGGUCUGCUUACCUGGUGCCUGUGUGCAGGUGCCAACAAUUGGUAUCGGAGCCGUACAAGCCGUGUGCUAGGUCCAUCGACCGGCGAUGGCGGACGGUGCGGCUCGGAACGGUGGAGGGGAGGGCGCGGAGCGUCAGCUCCAGCCGGCGCCACCGCAGGUGGAGGUGCGCGUGGUGAAGGAGUUCGGCGGCAGCAGCUCCUGGCCCAUGCUCACCCGCACCAACUACGGUGAGUGGGCGACGCAGAUGAAGUGGAAGCUGCGCGCGCGGAAGUGGUGGUGGGCGAUUGAGGAAGAUGAUCGCACCGAGGACGCCCAGGUGGGAGUCAUGGAGGCGCUCAUGGCCUCGACGCCGGCGGAGUACCACGAGGCGCUGGGCGCCAAGGACACCGCGAAGCAGGCCUGGGAGAUGCUGGAGUCGCUGCGUGUCGGCUCGGACCGAGCCAAGCGGGCCAGGAUCCAGCAGCUCCGCAGGGAGCUCAACGACAUCAAGUUCAAGCCCGGAGAGUCGGUGGAGGAGUACACUCUCCGUCUUCAAUCUCUGGCCACGCAACUGGCCACCUACGGGAAGAAGGUGGACGACGAGGACCUCGUCACCAAGCUGCUGUGCACCGUCCCGGCCAAGUAUUCGCAGCUUGCCAUGUCCAUUGAGAUGAUGUUGGACAUCUCCACAUUGUCUCUGGAGGACGUGGCUGGGCGGCUGCGAGUUGCAGAGAGCCGCAUCACGCCGGCACCGGAGAAGGAGAAGGCCAAGCUACUCCUGACGGAAGAGGAGUGGACCGCGCGCAUGAAGGACAAGCGCCGGACCGGGGAAGCCUCCUCCAGCCGCGGCGGUGAUGGCGCCAAGGGGCGCGGGAAGCCGCCGGCGGACAAGAAGAAGAAGAAGAAGAACACCGACCCCAACGCCUGCAGGCGCUGCGGGAAGGUGGGGCACUGGGCACGAGAAUGCCCAGAGAAGAAGCCGGAGAAGAAGGAAGAGGCCCACCUAGCUCGGGACGACAGCGACGACGAGUGCGCUCUGUUGAUGGGGGAGUAUUGCGCGCUGCAGGAAGGCGAAGCAGGGGAGGCGGAGGCGGAGCAGGGGACUGCGCCGCAGGCCGUCGAACUUGACAAGUCUCGCGCGCGCGUCCUCCUUGGAGCGGACGGUGAAGAGCUGGAGCAGAGGUGGUACCUCGACUCAGGUGCGAGCAACCACAUGACAGGGAGCCGCACCGCCUUCUCCAACCUCGACGAGUCAGCCACCGGAAGCGUGAAGUUCGGGGAUGGCUCAAAGGUGCAGAUUCGCGGCCGCGGCACCGUCCUCUUCCGGUGCCGGAACGGCGAGCACCGUGCCUUGACGGAUGUCUACUACAUCCCUCAGCUGCGCACCAGCAUCGUCAGCCUGGGACAGUUGGACGAACGCGGCAGCGAGGUCCUGAUUCGCGACGGGGUGUUGCGGAUCAGGGACAGGGAGCGGCGUCUUCUCGCCAAGGUAUCGCGCUCCCGUAACCGACUCUAUCUUCUGGAUUUGAAGGUAGAGCAGCCCGUAUGUUUGGCGGCGUCGUGCAAGGAGGAGCCCUGGCUGUGGCAUGGCCGGUUCGGCCACCUUAGUUUCGACGCGCUGGGCCGUCUUGGGAAGAUGGUGACAGGGCUGCCGGCGAUCCAGCAUGUCAGCGAGCUGUGCGACAGUUGCCUGGCAGGGAAGCAGAGGAGGCUGCCGUUCCCGAAGACCGCUAGGUACCGCGCGGCGGAUCCGCUUGAGCUGGUCCAUGGGGACCUUUGCGGGCCGAUCACGCUGGCGACGCACGGCGGGAGGAGGUACUUCCUCUUGCUCGUGGAUGACUGCAGCCGGUACAUGUGGCUGCAGCUCCUGACGAGCAAGAGCGACGCGGCGGAGGCGAUCAAGCACUUCAAGGCGCGCACGGAGAUGGAGUCCGGGAAGAAGCUGAAGGUGCUUCGGACUGACCGCGGCGGUGAGUUCACGGCGGCUGAAUUCACCACGUACUGCGCCGAGGAAGGAGUAGGGCGUCAUCUCACAGCCCCCUACUCACCGCAGCAGAACGGUGUGGUAGAGCGCCGGAACCAGACCAUCAUCGGCAUGGCGCGGUCUAUGCUGAAGGCGAAGGACAUGCCGGCUGAGUUCUGGGGAGAAGCCGUGAGCACAGCAGUGUUCAUCCUGAACCGUUGCCCCACCAAAGCGUUGAAGGGGCAGACUCCAUUCGAGGCUUGGCACGGACGCAAGCCGAACGUCGCGUUCCUACGCACGUUUGGUUGUGUCGGCCAUGUGAAGACCACCAAGCCGGGCCUCACAAAGCUGGAAGACAGGAGCACCAAGGCGGUGUUCCUCGGCUACGAGGAGGGAUCAAAGGCCUAUCGGCUCUACGAUCCGGUCGGCGGAAAGGUGCUGGUGUCACGAGAUGUGGUGUUCGACGAGGCGGCGGCGUGGAAAUGGGACCAGGCGGAAGAGCAAGGAGGUGGUGGGCUUGGCGACACUUUUGUCGUGGAACACAUGACGAUCCACGGCAGGGAAGAAGGGUCAGAAGGGCCAGCAACCGGGGAAGCCGGUGCCACUGCAGCUCCAGAGGUGGAGGAGCCACCAAGUCCAGCGACAGCUGGAACGCCAGUCCACUCCCCGGCGGCUGGGGUGGGAUCCCCUGCCUCGCCGGGGCUGGCAACGCCAGCGGCCGGAGACGUCGAAUUCGCCACACCACCAAGUGACUACACCGAGUUCGUGGAUGCUUACCACGACGGCGAGGAGGUCCGUUUUCGCCGAAUCGAGGGCAUCAUCGGGGAAGCAGAGGUGCCUGGGGUCGCAGCACGGCUGCUCGACGACGACCCUGAGCUUCUGCUGAUGAGCAUAGAAGAGCCCACAUCCUUUGCCGUGGCGGAACGCGACCCAAAUUGGCGGCGUGCCAUGCUGGAGGAGCUGCGGUCCAUCGAAGACAACCACACCUGGGAGCUGGUUGAUCCGCCGGCGGGAUGCCGGCCGAUUGGCCUCAAGUGGGUGUACAAGGUCAAGAAGGACGAGUACGGCACGAUCGUCAAGCACAAAGCGCGGCUGGUGGCCCGUGGCUUUGUGCAGCGCGAAGGCAUCGACUUCGAGGAGGUGUUUGCGCCGGUGGCGCGCAUGGAGUCGGUGAGAUUGCUGCUGGCACUCGCAGCAGCCAAGGAUUGGGGCGUCCAUCACCUCGACGUCAAGUCGGCCUUCCUGAACGGCGAGCUGGCGGAAGAGGUUUACGUCAAGCAGGCGCCAGGCUUUCAGGUGAAGGGGGAAGAGAGCAAGGUGCUUCGGCUGCGGAAGGCGUUGUAUGGCCUGCGGCAGGCCCCGCGGGCAUGGAAUGCCAAACUCGACGCCACCAUGGCGGAGCUUGGCUUCGCACGGUGUGCCACGGAGCAUGCCCUGUACACACGACGACGGGGGAAGGAGGAGCUCAUCGUCGGUGUGUAUGUGGACGAUCUGAUCGUCACUGGCGCGCGGGAGGAAGACAUCGCCAAAUUCAAGGCGGAGAUGGCGGCCCGAUUCAAGAUGAGCGAUCUAGGCGCGCUCUCGUACUACCUCGGCAUCGAGGUGAAGCAGGGGAAGGACGCGGUCAGGCUGGGGCAGCGCGCCUACGCGCUGAAGCUGCUGGAGCGGGCUGGAAUGGGCGACUGCAGGGCUGCAGCAACACCGAUGGAGGAGCGGAUCAAGCUCUCCAAACAAAGUGUGGCGAAGAAGGUUGAUGCCACACGAUACCGAAGCAUCGUCGGUGGGCUGCGCUGGCUCACUCACACCCGGCCGGACAUCGCGUUCGCGGUCGGGUAUGUGAGCAGAUUCAUGGAGGAUCCAAGGGAGGACCACUGGGCGGCGGUCAAGCGACUGCUGCGGUACAUCCAGGGGUCUUUGGACCUCGGUGUCGUCUUCCCCAAGCACGGCGAUCUUCGGCUGAAGGUGUUCAGCGAAGCGCCGCCCAGGGCAAAGGGCGGCGAGCCAGGGCUCACCGUGUUCAGUGAUGCAGACAUGGCGGGUGAUGUGGAUGGGCGGAAAAGCACCUCCGGGGUGUUCGUUUUCCUCGGAGCAGCGCCAGUGGCCUGGCAAUCACUGAAGCAGAAGACAGUGGCACUGUCAACCUGCGAGGCAGAGUAUGUGGCUGCUGCUACGGCGGCAUGUCAGGCGGUCUGGUUGCGGCGGCUGCUGAAGGAGCUCACUGGGAAGGAGUCUCAGCCGCCGGCUUUGCUGGUGGACAAUCAGCCGGCCAUUGCUCUUGCCAAGAACCCGGUGCUCCAUGACCGGAGCAAACACAUCGACGUCAAGUUCCAUUUCCUCAGGGAUUGCGUUGAUGGAGGACAGAUCACCAUCGAGUUUGUCGACACCGGCAGGCAACUCGCUGACAUUCUCACCAAGUCCCUCGGACGCCUCAGGUUUGUUGAGCUGAGGAAGAUGAUUGGCAUGGAUGAGGUCAAGGCUUAGCAGCAGGAUUAGGGGAAGAACUGUAAGACAUAAUCUGCAGCUAAACCUUUCUGUUUUGUUAAUGAUCAUAGGCAGGCAAUAGGUCAGCUCUUGGUCACAUAGGAGUAUGGCAAUAGGCCACUCUAGUACAGUAGUUGGUAGAACCAUACAUCAGCCAUACUUGGUAGGAGGAUGAUGUAUGCAGUGUACUAGGAGUAGUUGGGGCUGUACCCAGCCAUGCCUUGUGUACCUUAUAGUUGGUACAAGGCUUGUAUAUAUACACCAUGUAUGCAAUGAAGCAAAGGCAGUUUUAGUGCCACAUAUUUCCUGGGUUCAGGUUUCAGCCAAGACUGAAACCGUGUGUGAGUGUGUGUGCCUGAGCUCGGCUCAUCUUCUACCUUGGGUCAGGGGAGAGGAAGAGGGAAGGUGAGCAGGGUCUGCUUACCUGGUGCCUGUGUGCAGGUGCCAACAAU
rnacentral:lncRNA from 1 species